GUGGGGAAUAUUGGGCAAUGGGGGAAACCCUGACCCAGCAACGCCGCGUGAAGGAAGAAGGUUUUCGGAUCGUAAACUUCUAUCCUUGGUGAAGAUAAUGACGGUAGCCAAGAAGGAAGCCCCGGCUAACUACGUGCCAGCAGCCGCGGUAAUACGUAGGGGGCAAGCGUUGUCCGGAAUGCUUGGGCGUAAAGGGCGCGUAGGCGGCCUGGUAAGUCUGGAGUGAAAGUCCUGCUGUUAAGGUUGGAAUUGCUUUGGAUACUGUCGGGCUUGAGUGCAGGAGAGGUAAGCGGAAUUCCCGGUGUAGCGGUGAAAUGCGUAGAGAUCGGGAGGAACACCAGUGGCGAAGGCGGCUUACUGGACUGUAACUGACGCUGAGGCGCGAAAGUGUGGGGAGCAAACAGGAUUAGAAACCCUGGUAGUCC
rnacentral:rRNA from 1 species